rnacentral:rRNA from 1 species
GGAGUUAGCCGGUGCUUCUUCUGUGAGUGAUGUCCUUCCUGCCGGUUAUUGACCCGCAGGCCUUCUUCCUCACUGAAAGUGCUUUACAACCCGAAGGCCUUCUUCACACACGCGGCAUUGGCUGGAUCAGGGUUGCCCCCCAUUGUCCAAUAUUCCCCACUGCUGCCUCCCGUAGGAGUCUGGGCCGUGUCUCAGUCCCAGUGUGGCUGAUCAUCCUCUCAGACCAGCUACGGAUCGUCGCCUUGGUGAGCCGUUACCUCACCAACCAGCUAAUCCGACAUAGGCUCAUCCGAUAGCGCGAGGCCCGAAGGUCCCCCGCUUUCCCCCGUAGGGCGUAUGCGGUAUUAGCCUGGGUUUCCCCAGGGUUAUCCCCCACUACCCGGGCAGAUUCCUAUGCAUUACUCACCCGUCCGCCGCUCGCCACCAGGGAGCAAGCUCCCCGUGCUGCCGCUCGACUUGCAUGUGUUAGGCCUGCCGCCAGCCGUUCAAUCUGAGCCAGAAUCAAACUCUGA